AGAGUUUGAUCCUGGCUCAGGACGAACACUGGCGGCGUGCUUAACACAUGCAAGUCGAACGGUGACCCAGGGCUUGCCCUGGUGAUCAGUGGCGAACGGGUGAGUAACACGUGGGCAACCUGCCCCUGACUUCGGGAUAACUCCUCGAAAGAGGAGCUAAUACCGGAUACGACCACUUCGGACAUCCGAUGGUGGUGGAAAGUUCUUCGGUCAGGGAUGGGCCCGCGGCCUAUCAGCUAGUUGGUGGGGUAAUGGCCUACCAAGGCGACGACGGGUAGCCGGCCUGAGAGGGCGACCGGCCACACUGGGACUGAGACACGGCCCAGACUCCUACGGGAGGCAGCAGUGGGGAAUAUUGCGCAAUGGGCGAAAGCCUGACGCAGCGACGCCGCGUGAGGGAUGAAGGCCUUCGGGUUGUAAACCUCUUUCAGCAGGGACGAAGCGAAAGUGACGGUACCUGCAGAAGAAGCACCGGCUAACUACGUG
rnacentral:rRNA from 1 species